AGGUAUGAUGGUACAUGCUGGUAAUCCCA
rnacentral:piRNA from 1 species